rnacentral:ncRNA from 2 species
AUCUCAUCAAGAGAAGCAGAGGGACUGGCCUGAUGAAGCUUCGGCAACCUUCAUACGUGUAAUUAGAAAGGUGCCAAAUCCUGCAGUUGAAUGUUUAACGGUAGAUGAGAG